rnacentral:rRNA from 1 species
UUAAGCUACAAAGAGCGUAGGGUGAAUAGCUAGGCACCAAGAGCCGAAGAAGGACGUGAUAAGCUGCGAAAAGCUUUGGGUAGGAGCAAAUAUCCAUUAAUCCAGAGAUAUCCGAAUGAGGGAACUCACUUAGAGCAAACAAUCUAAGUAUCCAUAUAUGAGUAAAGUAGUAUAUGAGAAGGGAACGUGGGGAACUGAAACAUCUUAGUACCCACAGGAAAAGAAAGAGAAAUCGAUUCCUAGAGUAGUGGCGAGCGAAAUAGGAAGAGCCUAAACCAUGAGUAGUAAUACACAUGGGGUUCGGACCACGAUAUAUUAUCAAUAAUUCUAAUAGAAAUGUUUUGGAAAAGCAUACCAUAGACGGUGAAAGUCCAGUAUAUGAAAGAAAAGUUGAGAUUAGUGGUAUCCAGAGUAGUACGAGACACGAGAAAUCUCGUAUGAAUAAGCGGGGACCAUCCCGUAAGGCUAAAUACUACUUGGUGACCGAUAGUGAACUAGUACCGUGAGGGAAAGGUGAAAAGAACCCCGGGAGGGGAGUGAAAUAGAACAUGAAACCCUAUGUUUACAAGCAGACAAAGCACUUUAUAUGUGCGAUGUCGUACUUUUUGUAGAACGGUCCAGCGAGUUAUUGUGUAUGGCGAGGUUAAGUAUUACGUAAGGUACGGAGCCGAAGCGAAAGCGAGUCUGAAAAGGGCGAUAUAAGUCAUGCAUAAUAGACCCGAAACUGAGUGACCUAUCCAUGAGCAGGAUGAAGCUAGAGUAAAAUCUAGUGGAGGUCCGAACUGAUUGUCGUUAAAAAGGCACCGGAUGACUUGUGGAUAGCGGAGAAAUUCCAAUCGAACUCAGAGAUAGCUGGUUCUCCUCGAAAUAGCUUUAGGGCUAGCCUUGAGGGAAUGCAUAUGGGGGUAGAGCACUGAAUGAGGUAGGGGCCUAACCAGGUUACCAAACUCUAUCAAACUCCGAAUACCAUAUGUAAAUACUCAGGAGUCAGACUGCGGGAGCUAAGUUCCGUGGUCAAAAGGAAAACAGUCCAGAUCGUCAAUUAAGGUCCCAAAGAUAUAGCUAAGUGGAAAACGAUGUGAUUUUGCAUAAACAACCAGGAUGUUGGCUCAGAAGCAGCCAUUCAUUCAAAGAGUGCGUAAUAGCUCACUGGUCGAGUGAAGUUGCGCGGAAAAUUACCGGGGCUAAGCUAUACACCGAAAUUGCGGAUUUACAUUUGAAAGACAAUGUAAGUGGUAGAGGAGCAUUCUGUAGUAGGAAGAAGCAUGACCGUAAGGACAUGUGGACGAAGCAGAAGAGAGAAUGCUGGAAUAAGUAGCGAGAGGAUGGUGAGAAUCCAUCCCGUCGAAAAUCUAAGGUUUCCCAGGGAAGGUUCGUCCGCCUGGGGUAAGUCGGGACCUAAGGAGAGGCCGAAAGGCGUAUCUGAUGGAUAGCAGGUUGAAAUUCCUGCACUACGAAUAUACUUAAAAGAUUCAAGGGACGCAGAAGUGGAAGAUAACCAAGUAAGAGGAAAAGCUUGGCUCGCAAGAGGGAGUGAAAAUUAAAAGUAACGAAGUAUCAAGAAGCACGCUGACGAGAAAAGCUUGAAGAUAUUGUAUAUAAGUACCCGUACCGCAAACCGACACAGGUAGAUGAGGAGAGGAUCCUAAGACGAGCGGGAGAAGCAUUGUUAAGGAACUCGGCAAACUAACCCCGUAACUUCGGAAUAAGGGGUGCUGAUGUAACAGUCAGUCGCAGAGAAAAGGCCCAAGCAACUGUUUAACAAAAACAUAGGUUUCUGCUAAAUCGAAAGAUGAAGUAUAGGAGCUGACGCCUGCCCAGUGCUGGAAGGUUAAGGGAAAGAGUUAGGGUUAAACCGAAGCUUAGAACUGAAGCCCCAGUGAACGGCGGCCGUAACUAUAACGGUCCUAAGGUAGCGAAAUUCCUUGUCAGGUAAGUUCUGACCC